GAUGAACGCUGGCGGCGUGCCUAAUACAUGCAAGUCGAGCGAAUGGAUUAAGAGCUUGCUCUUAUGAAGUUAGCGGCGGACGGGUGAGUAACACGUGGGUAACCUGCCCAUAAGACUGGGAUAACUCCGGGAAACCGGGGCAAAUACCGGAUAAUAUUUUGAACUGCAUGGUUCAAAAUUGAAAGGCGGCUUCGGCUGUCACUUAUCGAUGGACCCGCGUCGCAUUAGCUAGUUGGUGAGGUAACGGCUCACCAAGGCAACGAUGCGUAGCCGACCUGAGAGGGUGAUCGGCCACACUGGGACUGAGACACGGCCCAGACUCCUACGGGAGGCAGCAGUAGGGAAUCUUCCGCAAUGGACGAAAGUCUGACGGAGCAACGCCGCGUGAGUGAUGAAGGCUUUCGGGUCGUAAAACUCUGUUGUUAGGGAAGAACAAGUGCUAGUUGAAUAAGCUGGCACCUUGACGGUACCUAACCAGAAAGCCACGGCUAACUACGUGCCAGCCGCCGCCGUAA
rnacentral:rRNA from 1 species